GACGAACGCUGGCGGCGUGCUUAACACAUGCAAGUCGAACGGAAAGGCCCUGCUUUUGUGGGGUGCUCGAGUGGCGAACGGGUGAGUAACACGUGAGUAACCUGCCCUUGACUUUGGGAUAACUUCAGGAAACUGGGGCUAAUACCGGAUAGGAGCUCCUGCUGCAUGGUGGGGGUUGGAAAGUUUCGGCGGUUGGGGUUGGACUCGCGGCUUAUCAGCUUGUUGGUGGGGUAGUGGCUUACCAAGGCUUUGACGGGUAGCCGGCCUGAGAGGGUGACCGGCCACAUUGGGCCUGAGAUACGGCCCAGACUGCUACGGGAGGCAACGGUGGGGAAUAUUGCACGAUGGGCGGAAGCCUGAUGCAGCAACGCCGCGUGCGGGAUGACGGCCUUCGGGUUGUAAACCGCUUUCGCCUGUGACGAAGCGUGAGUGACGGUAAUGGGUAAAGAAGCACCGGCUAACUACGU
rnacentral:rRNA from 1 species